UAGUAACGGCGAGUGAAGCGGGAAGAGCUCAAGCUUAAAAUCUCUGCGCAAGUUUUGCGCGGCGAAUUGUAGUCUAUAGACGCGUAAUCAGUGCGGCUGGUCGGGAUAAGUUCCUUGGAAGAGGACAGCAUGGAGGGUGAUACUCCCGUUUGUGCCUGAUCACGUUGCACGUACGAUUUGUGUUCUUUGAGUCGCGUUGUUUGGGAAUGCAGCGCAAAGUAGGUGGUAAAUUCCAUCUAAAGCUAAAUAUUGGUGCGAGACCGAUAGCGAACAAGUACCGUGAGGGAAAGAUGAAAAGAACUUUGAAAAGAGAGUUAAAGAGUACCUGAAACUGCUGAAAGGGAACCGGGUCGUUGCCAGUGUCUAUAAUCGUCGGCAUAUUUCAUUGCUGUGCGGGUCUGUGUCGCGCGUUGGUAGUAGUUUGUUCUGCGCCGCGCGUGUCGUUCGGUCUUGCUCGGCGGUGCCCUGUGUCGGUGUGGGACGUCAGAGUCAGUUCGUGUGCUGCGGGAAAUGGGUGUCGAGGAGGUAGGUCAGGAGCUUGCUUUUGGCUGUUAUAUCUCGGCGUGCUAGUUGUCGUGGUUGGGACUGAGGUGCCUACAACGUGCUUUUGAGUGUGCGUGCGUCUCUGUGUGCGUGCGAGUUGGAUAGCUUGCUAUGCAGUUUGCAUUGUGUGCGGAUGGAUGUGCGUGGUUACUUGUUGCCGUUC
rnacentral:rRNA from 1 species